CCCACAUCUGCCCCAUACUCUGACCCACACAUUGCCCCACAUCUCCCCACACUCUGCCCCACAUCUGCCCCACAUCUCCCCACACUCUGCCCCCCGUCUGCCCCACAUCUCCCCACACUCUGCCCCACAUUUGGCCCCCCAUUUGCGCCCCACCGCGCCCCACACCUCCAUGACUCCGCGUUCCUCCGUCCAAAAGCGAAAGAGAAACUGCGGCGCCGAAGCCCCGCCCACACCCGGAAGUGGGAGCACAAAACCCCGCCCACACCCGGAAGUGGGAGCACAAAACCCCACCCAGACCCGGAAGAGGGAGCACAAAACCCCGCCCACACCCGGAAAUGGGAGCAGAAAGCCCCGCCCACACCCGGAAGUGGGAGCAGAAAGUCCCGUCCACACCCGGAAGUAGGAGCAGAAAGUCCCGCUCAAACCCGGAAGUGGGAGCACAAAACCCCGCCCACACCCGGAAGUGGUGGGUCGGAGGCAUUUAGUGUGUGGGGCGGAGUGUGGGGCGGCCCCAACGGGCUCAGCUGUGGGGCGAUGGGGGGCUGGGGGGGCACUUGUGGGUCUCACUGUGGGGCAGAGGGGUCACUUGUGGGGCAGAGGAAGCACUUAUGGGUCUCACUAUGGGGCAGAGGGGUCACUUGUGGGGCCGGGGGGCAUUUGUGGGUCUCACUAUGGGGCAGAGGGGUCACUUGUGGGUCUCAUUAUAGAGCAGAGGGAGCACUUGUGGGGCUGGGGGGGCACUUGUGGGUCUCACUAUGGGGCAGAGGGGUCACUUGUGGGGCUGGGGGGGCACUUGUGGGGCUGGGGGGCACUUAUGGGGCUGAGGAGUCAGUUAUAGGUCUCCAUAUGGGGCUGAGGGGGCACUUGUGGGGCUGGGGGGCACUUGUGGGUCUCACUGUGGGGCAGAGGAAUCACUUGUGGGGCUGGGGGGUCACUUGUGGGGCUGGGGGGGCACUUGAGGGUCUCACUUUGGGGCUCAGGCCAAUCAGAGAGCGAGUUGCCUCAGAGAGAGGUGGGACAGGAGAUCGGUCCAAUCAGAGAGCGAGUUGCCACACAGCAGGAUAGGACGGACGGGAGCUCGGACCAAUCAGAGCGCGAGUUACCUCAGAGAGAGCUGGGACGAGAGAUCGGCCCAAUCAGAGAGCGAGUUCCCACAGGGCAGGAGAGGACGGACGGGAGUUCGGACCAAUCAGAGAGCGAGUUGCCACAGGGAAGGAUAGGACGGACGGAAGCUCGGGCCAAUCAGAGAGCGAGUUACCUCAGAGAGAGGUGGGACGGGAACUCGGACCAAUCAGAGAGCGAGUUGCCACAGGGCAGGGUAGGAAGGACGGGAGCUCGGACCAGUCAGAGAGCGAGUUGCCUCAGAGAGAGGUGGGACGGGAAGUCGGCCCAAUCAGAGAGCGAGUUACCUCAGAGUGAGGUGGGACGAGAGAUCGGCCCAAUC
rnacentral:lncRNA from 1 species